rnacentral:rRNA from 1 species
CGUACACUCCUACGGGAGGCAGCAGUGGGGAAUAUUGGACAAUGGGCGCAAGCCUGAUCCAGCCAUGCCGCGUGAGUGAUGAAGGCCCUAGGGUUGUAAAGCUCUUUCACCGGUGAAGAUAAUGACGGUAACCGGAGAAGAAGCCCCGGCUAACUUCGUGCCAGCAGCCGCGGUAAUACGAAGGGGGCUAGCGUUGUUCGGAUUUACUGGGCGUAAAGCGCACGUAGGCGGACUAUUAAGUCAGGGGUGAAAUCCCGGGGCUCAACCCCGGAACUGCCUUUGAUACUGGUAGUCUUGAGUUCGAGAGAGGUGAGUGGAAUUCCGAGUGUAGAGGUGAAAUUCGUAGAUAUUCGGAGGAACACCAGUGGCGAAGGCGGCUCACUGGCUCGAUACUGACGCUGAGGUGUGAAAGCGUGGGGAGCAAACAGGAUUAGAAACCCUAGUAGUCCCAUGA